CACUGCGCCACGACGGGAACUCCUUGAUUUCUUGUUUUUUAAGCCAUGUGUGAAAUGGCUAUGACUUUUUCCUGCAAAUGUCCAAGCUGUCUGUUUUUGGCCCCAGGAGGAGGAUUUUUCGUUAAUUCUCAGAUGAUGAAAUUUUCUGCCGCCACAGUUUAAGAGAACCGUGAAGGCUUGGUCGGCUGGCACCUGCUCCUGCCAUGACGCGCGUUUCUGCAGUUAAUUAAUCUCGGGGCGGGGAAGGCAAGUGCUCCCUGUCGACUUUGCCAUAAAAUGUGCUGCAGGCUUCUGUCUGCCUUGCAUCUCCGUGCCCGUCCCCAAGACGGCCCACGCGGCCUCUCUGCUUCGAUUCCUUUGCCUCUGAAGCAAGACAGUGACGUUUCAGGACGUCGAUCAGAGCACACACCAUCGCGGUGUGUCUCCUUCUACGGGAAAUCAAACCCAGACUCGUCCCCGGGGCCUGCGUGCCCUGCCUGACCCGCCCUCCCCACAUUUCCGCCGGGGCUCUUGAAGCUCAGGUUCACCUGCUCCUCCCCUGUGUGAAUUCCCCAAGCUCGAGAGGGUCUCACAGCCACUUGAGAUGAUGUCUCGCUGCCAGGACCUCUCUCUCCCCCUCUUGGCUGGUAUCCGUUCACCCUGCUGGCUUGCCAGUCUUGGCCCAAAGUGCCACCGAAGGUGGGGGCCGGCCGCUCGCUGCGCUGAAGCCAGCAAAGGGGCAAGACUGCUAGGAAGGAAGGCUGGUGUUGUCUCGGGAGCCUGCAGCGGGCCGGGGAGUGGACGGACGGCGGCCUCGUGUCCAAGGGCCACGCCGGCACCCCCGACAGCCCGUGGGCAGGAGGGUGAGGGAGGGGCUCCGGGCCGACCAGCAGUUUCAGCUCUGGGUCAUCCCGAAACUGGUCCUGGGGUCGGGCCUGUGUCGUCUUGACUGUUUCAAGUACCCUGACUUCAUCUUCCGUUCCAGGAUGGGCUUGUUUCCACUUUCGUCGAGGGCAGGUCUCAGAGCUGCGGCAGCCGAUGUCACGGCUACAGUCUGGUCAUCACAUCUCGCCGAUGUCUUCCUUCCCGCAGGGAUUUUCAUGUCUAUAAAACAGCUCACAGGACCUGGCUCAGAAUGUGACCCGUGGCCCUCGAGGGGGAAUGGCAGACAAAAGCCAGGUGGAGGACAUGGGAGUGGGGGGCACCAAGGGGUCCUGCUUUGUUUCAAGAGGUUGCAUCUUCAAUCCUGCUCGGUCUCCUGUAGCCUCUCACCCGACUCGCCAGUCACCUGCUCACAUCUCCCUGCUUUAUUUCCUUCUCACAGUUUAAGAUUAUAAUUACUACUUACUAAAUUAGAUGUAAGUUCUUUAAAAUGAGGGGUCUUGCCUAGCGCUUGGCAGGGUUUACCCUAUGACAGGCAUAGGGCAAAUAUUUGUUGAAUUAAUAAACUAGUUCAUUAAUAAA